rnacentral:misc_RNA from 1 species
AAGAGUUGCAAAAACUCCCACAAACCAUCGCGAACGUUACCACACAUAAGUUGCUUCGGCGCGCCGCUCCCGGGUCACACCGGGGCGCCGCCGGAGUGGCCGUAUACAAACUCUUAUUAUAAACCAGCUACAUCUGAGUACUAUACUUAAUAAGUAA